rnacentral:misc_RNA from 1 species
AAAAUGUCAUCUCAUUAUAAAGAAUCUCCCAGAGCCUAGGCCGAUGUAAAGAAUACGGUGUACAAAUUAUUCAGUUAAUGAAAUGAUUUUUGGACCAUUGUUUAGUAAAUUUGUGAAUGAAUAAUAUAACUCCCGUAGGAACUCUCUCGCUAGGGUUAUGUGAAAAAAAUUGAGUGCGCUAUAUGGACUGGUAUCAUAAAUG